AUCAGCUUGUUGGUGGGGUAAUGGCCUACCAAGGCGACGACGGGUAGCCGGCCUGAGAGGGUGGACGGCCACACUGGGACUGAGACACGGCCCAGACUCCUACGGGAGGCAGCAGUGGGGAAUAUUGCACAAUGGGCGCAAGCCUGAUGCAGCGACGCCGCGUGAGGGAUGAAGGCCUUCGGGUUGUAAACCUCUUUCAGUAGGGAAGAAGCGAAAGUGACGGUACCUGCAGAAGAAGCGCCGGCUAACUACGUGCCAGCAGCCGCGGUAAUACGUAGGGCGCAAGCGUUAUCCGGAAUUAUUGGGCGUAAAGAGCUCGUAGGCGGUUUGUCGCGUCUGCCGUGAAAGUCCGGGGCUUAACCCCGGAUCUGCGGUGGGUACGGGCAGACUUGAGUGAUGUAGGGGAGACUGGAAUUCCUGGUGUAGCGGUGAAAUGCGCAGAUAUCAGGAGGAACACCGAUGGCGAAGGCAGGUCUCUGGGCAUUAACUGACGCUGAGGAGCGAAAGCAUGGGGAGCGAACAGGAUUAGAUACCCUGGUAGUCCAUGCCGUAAACGUUGGGCACUAGGUGUGGGGGACAUUCCACGUUUUCCGCGCCGUAGCUAACGCAUUAAGUGCCCCGCCUGGGGAGUACGGCCGCAAGGCUAAAACUCAAAGGAAUUGACGGGGGCCCGCACAAGCGGCGGAGCAUGCGGAUUAAUUCGAUGCAACGCGAAGAACCUUACCAAGGCUUGACAUGAACCGGAACGGCGCAGAGAUGUGUCGGCCACUUGUGGCCGGUUUACAGGUGGUGCAUGGUUGUCGUCAGCUCGUGUCGUGAGAUGUUGGGUUAAGUCCCGCAACGAGCGCAACCCUCGUUCCAUGUUGCCAGCGGGUUAUGCCGGGGACUCAUGGGAGACUGCCGGGGUCAACUCGGAGGAAGGUGGGGACGACGUCAAAUCAUCAUGCCCCUUAUGUCUUGGGCUUCACGCAUGCUACAAUGGCCGGUACAAAGGGUUGCGAUGCUGUGAGGUGGAGCUAAUCCCAAAAAGCCGGUCUCAGUUCGGAUUGAGGUCUGCAACUCGACCUCAUGAAGUCGGAGUCGCUAGUAAUCGCAGAUCAGCAACGCUGCGGUGAAUACGUUCCCGGGCCUUGUACACACCGCCCGU
rnacentral:rRNA from 1 species